UAGAAACACAGGCGGACCAGUUAGGAGCCGGUUGGAGUCUGGGGGGGGAUGUUGGAUGCGGAAGCCGGUCCCUGGCCUCCUGUGUGGGUGUUUACUGUUGUUUCAGUUUGGCUUGGAGCGGAGCUGCGGGAGAAGCUGCCGAGUUUAACCCCGAGGACAGUGGAAUCCAGUCGGGCCCAGCAAUUUCCGAUGUGGAACUGUCAAAGGAGUUUCACAGGGUAUUAGAAGGGGAAGUUUUGCAGUUGGGAAACUGAAACCAAACAUCACAUCAGGAUCUGAGUCAGGAGUUGUCCAAUUUAUCGUAACUUGAAUAUCAUCGGAUUUUGAACAUGAAAGGAAAAAGCACCGUUCACAGUGGGGAAAAGCCUUGGAAAUGUGGGAUUGUCGGAAGGGAUUCAAUUACCCAUUUGAACUGGAAACUCAUUGACGCACUCACACUGGGGAGAGACCAUUCAUCUGCUCCAUGUGUGGGAAGGGAUUCAUUUCAUCCAGCCUUCUGAAACACCAGCAAGUUCACACUGACGAGAAAGCUUUUAAAUGCUCAGAGUGUGGGAAAUGCUUUAAAAGUUCUUGAGAGCUGAUAUCCCAUCAACGUGUGCACACUAAUGAGAAACCUUUUAAAUGCCCAGACUGUGGGAAGUGCUAUAAAAGCUCCAAGGAACUGAUGUCCCAUCAACUUACUCACACUGAUGAGAGACCGUUCAGGUGCUCUCAGUGUGGGACUGGGUUCAAGCGAUCAGCCGACCUUACUAAACACCAGCAAAUUCAUACUGGGGAGAGACCAUUCACCUGCUCUGAGUGUGGGAAGGGAUUCACUCAGAUAUCCCACCUGAUGACACACCAACGUGUUCACACUGGGGAGAGACCAUUCACCUGCUCCGAGUGUGAAAAGAUAUUCACUGAUUCAGCCGGCCUGUUGAAACACCAGCGAGUUCACACUGAUGAAAGACCUUUUAAAUGCCCAGACUGUGGGAAAUGCUUCAAAAGUUCUGGGAACCUGAUUCGCCAUCAACGCGUUCACACAGACGAGAGACCAUUCAGGUGCUCUCACUGUGGGGCUGGGUUCAAGACAUCAUCUGACCUGCUGUCACACCAGCGCAUUCACACUGGGGAGAGGCCGUUCACCUGCUCCAAGUGUGGGAAGGGAUUCAUUCGAUCAUCAAAACUGCUGAGACACCAGCGAGCUCACAAGUAACCACAGUGAUUGGAUUUUGCUGUUAAUCACAUCCAGGACUGAACCAUGUUCAUUGGACUCUGUUUCUACUGAAGUUAAUAAACUCCAGCCCAGUUCUAGGGGACAAUAUUCUGGAUAAAAGUCAAAUAAAUCAGCCUUCUGUUAAACACA